GGUAACAGGUUUUAGUUUACUAGAAUGCUGACGACCGGCGCACGGGUGAGUAACGCGUAUACAAUUUACCUUUUACAGGAGAAUAGCCCAGAGAAAUUUGGAUUAAUGCUCCAUGGUAUUAAUUGAUCACCUGAUCGAUUAAUUAAAGUUCCGGCGGUAAAAGAUGAGUAUGCGUCCUAUUAGUUAGAUGGUGAGGUAACGGCUCACCAUGGCAUCGAUAGGUAGGGGCCCUGAGAGGGGGAUCCCCCACACUGGUACUGAGACACGGACCAGACUCCUACGGGAGGCAGCAGUGAGGAAUAUUGGACAAUGGGCGUAAGCCUGAUCCAGCCAUGCCGCGUGCAGGAAGACGGCCCUAUGGGUUGUAAACUGCUUUUAUACGGGAAGAAUAAGGGACACGAGUGUCCUGGUGACGGUACCGUAAGAAUAAGGACCGGCUAACUCCGUGCCAGCAGCCGCGGUAAUACGGAGGGUCCGAGCGUUAUCCGGAAUUAUUGGGUUUAAAGGGUCC
rnacentral:rRNA from 1 species